rnacentral:rRNA from 1 species
CCUUUAGAGUUUGAUCCUGGCUCAGGAUGAACGCUGGCGGCGUGCUUAACACAUGCAAGUCGAACGGUGAAGCCAAGCUUGCUUGGUGGAUCAGUGGCGAACGGGUGAGUAACACGUGAGCAACCUGCCCUGGACUCUGGGAUAAGCGCUGGAAACGGCGUCUAAUACUGGAUAUGAGACGUGAUCGCAUGGUCGUGUUUGGAAAGAUUUUUCGGUCUGGGAUGGGCUCGCGGCCUAUCAGCUUGUUGGUGAGGUAAUGGCUCACCAAGGCGUCGACGGGUAGCCGGCCUGAGAGGGUGACCGGCCACACUGGGACUGAGACACGGCCCAGACUCCUACGGGAGGCAGCAGUGGGGAAUAUUGCACAAUGGGCGAAAGCCUGAUGCAGCAACGCCGCGUGAGGGAUGACGGCCUUCGGGUUGUAAACCU